GGCCAAGUGGCUCAGCUGGUUGGAGUGUGCUCACUGCUACUAAGCACAAGUCUUGGGUUCGAUUCCCAGCUGGUCCU